GGUACACUCUGUAUCAGAAGAUAGAGAAGUGCCCACUACUGCUGAGAGGCCAGCGGACACUUUUCUCCCAGCCACAAGGGUGUUUGUGUGGGUUUCAUCUUCCUAAGGUCUGUUCCACAGCAGAGGAAAAGGAUUAGCAGGUGCCUACAGCCUCAUCUAGACCCACAAGCAGUGCAGCCCAAUCAACUAGCAGUCAAAGUAGUUCCAUAAUGCUCCAGACUGUUACUCCAGUCAAAUACCCCACAGGUUGCAGCACACCUGGAACUCCGGCAAAAAGGCCAAAACUCACCCUUUCUUCAACCAAUGCAACACGUGCUUGUACAAGCACAGCAGCCCAUUCUUGCGCGGAUCCAGUGCCAGCAGGUGGUUCUCUUCACAACAUCUCUCCACCACAGCCUCAAAGUGCAGAGACCUUUCUUCUUGCUCCUCCAUUACCGGCUCCCAAACGACAACAGCCAGUGGAGGAGCAGAGUUCAGGAGUG